AAAUAGAAUUCAUUUAUACCGUAGACAGUAGGUGCCGAAAGGCUUAAUAUCCUACCGAGGUGUAUGAUAUAGAUUAAGCGGAACGUUUGCUUAUUUGUACGAUACCUCCAUGUCUGCGGGCAUGGAGGUAUUUCAUUUCACCG
rfam:Aeribacillus pallidus strain 8m3 NODE_1, whole genome shotgun sequence.